UAUUUACAAAUUAUUUAUCUGUAAAUGAAGUUUUCUAAGCUCUAUUCCAUAGGAAUGUUGAACUUAUGUUCUCUAUAAGGCAUUUGGUAUGCACAUUAAGAAAUAUUGGGUCUGAAUGAAUAGCAGUUAUGCUUUUUAUGAACCCUCAAAGCACCGCCCUCCCAUCUGAGUUUAUUUUUUAUCCAGUACAUAGCAAAUGAUAUACAGUGCAUAGGGACAAAAAGAAACAUCCUUAAGCCAAAUAAAUUAUCUUUUAUUUUUUCUAAACAGAAUAAAAGGCAAACCAUGAAUUAGACACAUUUUAUUUUUUUAAACUAUAUUUUCUCCAUUUUGUGUUCCCAACUAUUUCACUAUGUUGUUCUUUCACAUUUUCAUGAAAAUACCUAUUGCAGUGCCAUGUUAUCUGCUUUUCGAUCAUAAAUACAAUAUAGAUGGUUUGUGACUUUCAAAUACCAAAAAUGUAGCUCUGCUGUGUUAAACAGCAAUAAAUAUACAGCCAUGCCACUCUUAUAUUACAUUAAAACCUAAGUAAGCUACUAUAAGAAAAAACAUUUGAAAACACCAAAAUAAAUAUAACUGUCUAUGUGUUUCUAGAAGUUACCUGUUUAGAACAAGUACGAGGAAGAGCUUUUCUCUUCCUUCCAGCCCCGAGGACUCUGCACGUGUUAAAAGAGCAAGGACUGGAGAGCUAAGCCAUCCGCCUGCACCACUCAGAAGGUGGACCGCCCGCCCCGCUGCAGCCCCGAGGAGGAGCCGCCGCCGCCCCGAGCGCCUCCCUGGAGGCGGAGGAAGCCCAGCGCCGCCUCCAGGGCAGGCGGCCAGGCCGUGGCUGUGGCCGCGGCCGCGGCGGCCGAGGCCCCCCUGGCCGAGGCCAAGGCCCACCUGGCCGUGGCCGUGGUCGCGGCGGCCGAGGCCCCCCAGGCCGAGGCAGCGGCAGCCGAGGCCCCCCUGACCGUGGCCGUGGUCGCGGCGGCCGAGGCCCCCAUGGCCGAGGCCGCCCUGGCCGUGGCCGUGGCCGAGGCCCCCCUGGCCGAGGCCCUGGGCCCCGCGCGCUCCUCCUGGUCUAGCAGAGCCUCGGCGUAGAGCUCGGGGAAGCAGCUGGGCACGGUGUCGUUGAUCUUGGCGAGGACCUGCAGCACCUGCAUCUUGCUGGUCUCGGCGCGGGCUCGCGGGCCCCACAGGAACUCGUGGCGCGGGGGGUCGCUGGCCGGCACCUGGCGGUACUCCAGGUAGCCCUGGCGCACCAGGUCUUGGGUGAGGAGCUUCCGGGGCUCCCCGAAGAUCAGGUGCCACC
rnacentral:lncRNA from 12 species